AUUGAACGCUAGCGGCAGGCCUAACACCUGCAAGUCGAGCGAGCGGCCGACGGGUGAGUAAUGUAUGGGGACUGCCCGCUAGUGGGGGAUAACUACUGGAAACGGUAGCUAAUACCGCAUACUAUCGGAUAACCCAUAUGGGAUUAGCUAGUAGGUGCGGUAAUGGCUCACCUAUGCGACGAUCCCUAGCUGGUCUGAGCGGAUGAUCAGCCACACUGGGAUGUAGACAAGGCCCAGACUCCUACGGAGGCAGCAGUGGGGAAUAUUGCACAAUGGGCGCAAGCCUGAGGCAGCCAGGCCACGUGUAUGAAGAAGUCCCUAGGGUUGUAAAGUACUUUCAGUCGGGAGGCGUUACCGACAGAAGAAGGAGCGGCUAACUCCGUGCAAGCAGCCGCGGUAAUAC
rnacentral:rRNA from 1 species